rnacentral:rRNA from 1 species
AUUCCGGAAAAAAGCUGUCUAAUAUCAAGCUAUAUAUAAUUUAUUUAGUGCGUGAAAAGCCGCACAUAUAGAAAAAAGACGAGAAGACCCUAGAAAUUUUUUAAAAGAUCUGUAAAUUCUAUUUUGUUGGGGCGACAUAGUAACACUUAACCUACUAUAUUAACAUGCUACUUAUAAGACGUAAGAUAAAAUUACUCUAGGGAUAACAGCAUAAUUUAUUAUUAAGUUUGUGACCUCGAUGUUGGACUAGGAAAUAUUUUAU